rnacentral:rRNA from 1 species
CCCUGCCAUUUGUACACACCGCCCGUCGAUACUACCGAUUGAAUGGCUUAGUGAGAACUCUGGAUGGCAGUUUGGUCGCAAGGCCGGACAGCCAGAAAUCGUUCAAACUUAUCCAUUUAGAGGAAGUA